rnacentral:rRNA from 1 species
CUGUUCACCCCUUGACGGUAUCUAACCAGAAAGCCACGGCUAACUACGUGCCAGCAGCCGCGGUAAUACGUAGGUGGCAAGCGUUGUCCGGAUUUAUUGGGCGUAAAGCGAGCGCAGGCGGUUUCUUAAGUCUGAUGUGAAAGCCCCGGCUCAACCGGGGAGGGUCAUUGGAAACUGGGAGACUUGAGUGCAGAAGAGGAGAGUGGAAUUCCAUGUGUAGCGGUGAAAUGCGUAGAUAUAUGGAGGAACACCAGUGGCGAAGGCGACUCUCUGGUCUGUAACUGACGCUGAGGCUCGAAAGCGUGGGGAGCAAACAGGAUUAGAUACCCUGGUAGUCCACGCUGUAAACGAUGUCGAUUUGGAGGUUGUGCCCUUGAGGCGUGGCUUCCGGAGCUAACGCGUUAAAUCGACCGCCUGGGGAGUACGGCCGCAAGGUU